GAUGAAGAACGUAGCGAAAUGCGAUAAGUAAUGUGAAUUGCAGAAUUCCGUGAAUCAUCGAAUCUUUGAACGCAUAUUGCGCCCCCUGGUAUUCCGGGGGGCAUGCCUGUCCGAGCGUCAUUGCUGCCCUCAAGCACGGCUUGUGUGUUGGGCCCCGUCCUCCGAUCCCGGGGGACGGGCCCGAAAGGCAGCGGCGGCACCGCGUCCGGUCCUCGAGCGUAUGGGGCUUUGUCACCCGCUCUGUAGGCCCGGCCGGCGCUUGCCGAUCAACCCAAAUUUUUAUCCAGGUUGACCUCGGAUCAGGUAGGGAUACCCGCUGAACUUAAGCAUAUCAAUAAGCGGAGGA
rnacentral:misc_RNA from 1 species